GGGUUGUGAGGUUAAGCGAAUAAGCGUACACGGUGGAUGCCUAGGCAAUCAGAGGCGAUGAAGGACGUGCUAAUCUGCGAAAAGCGUCGGUAAGGUGAUAUGAACCGCUAUACCCGACGAUAUCCGAAUGGGGAAACCCAGUAUCCAAUGGAUACUAUCAUUAACUGAAUCCAUAGGUUAAUGAGGCGAACCGGGAGAACUGAAACAUCUCAGUACCCCGAGGAAAAGAAAUCAACCGAGAUUCCCCUAGUAGCGGCGAGCGAACGGGGAGCAGCCCAGAGUCUUAAUCAAUAGCAGUGUCAGGAGAACGGUCUGGAAAGUCCGGCAGUAAAGGGUGAUAGCCCCGUAUCUGAAGAUGCUGUUGUUGUGAACUCGACGAGUAGGGCGGGACACGUGUUAUCCUGUCUGAAUAUGGGGGGACCAUCCUCCAAGGCUAAAUACUCCUGAUUGACCGAUAGUGAACCAGUACCGUGAGGGAAAGGCGAAAAGAACCCCGGCGAGGGGAGUGAAAAAGAACCUGAAACCGUGUACGUACAAGCAGUAGGAGCCUCUUUAUGGGGUGACUGCGUACCUUUUGUAUAAUGGGUCAGCGACUUAUAUUCUGUAGCAAGGUUAACCGUAUAGGGAGCCGUAGGAAACCGAGUCUUAACUGGGCGAAUGAGUUGCAGGGUAUAGACCCGAAACCCGGUGAUCAUCCAUGGGCAGGUUGAAGGUUGGGUAACACUAACUGGAGGACCGAACCGACUAAUGUUGAAAAAUUAGCGGAUGACUUGUGGAUGGGGUGAAAGGCCAAUCAAACCGGGAGAUAGCUGGUUCUCCCCGAAAGCUAUUUAGGUAGCGCCUCGUGAACUCAUCUUCGGGGGUAGAGCACUGUUUCGACUAGGGGGUCAUCCCGACUUACCAACUCGAUGCAAACUGCGAAUACCGAAGAAUGUUAUCACGGGAGACACACGGCGGGUGCUAACGUCCGUCGUGAAGAGGGAAACAACCCAGACCGCCAGCUAAGGUCCCAAAGUCAUGGUUAAGUGGGAAACGAAGUGGGAAGGCUCAGACAGCCAGGAUGUUGGCUUAGAAGCAGCCAUCAUUUAAAGAAAGCGUAAUAGCUCACUGGUCGAGUCGGCCCGCGCGGAAGAUGUAACGGGGCUAAACCAUGCACCGAAGCUGCGGCAGCGACACAAAGUGUUGUUGGGUAGGGGAGCGUUCUGUAAGCCUGCGAAGGUGUACUGUGAGGUAUGCUGGAGGUAUCAGAAGUGCGAAUGCUGACAUAAGUAACGAUAAUGCGGGUGAAAAACCCGCACGCCGGAAGACCAAGGGUUCCUGUCCAACGUUAAUCGGGGCAGGGUGAGUCGACCCCUAAGGCGAGGCUGAAAAGCGUAGUCGAUGGGAAACGGGUUAAUAUUCCCGUACUGGUGGUAACUGCGAUGGGGGAACGGAGAAGGCUAGGUUGUCCGGGCGACGGUCGUCCCGGUUCAAGCAGGUAGGCAGAGUGAUUAGGCAAAUCCGGUCACUUAAUGCUGAGAUGUGAUGACGAACCACCAAGGUGGUGAAGCAAUUGAUGCCCCGCUUCCAGGAAAAGCCUCUAAGCUUCAGGUUACCAACAAUCGUACCCCAAACCGACACAGGUGGUCAGGUAGAGAAUACUCAGGCGCUUGAGAGAACUCGGGUGAAGGAACUAGGCAAAAUGGUGCCGUAACUUCGGGAGAAGGCACGCUGGCGGUAGGUAAAGUCCCUCGCGGACAGAGCUGAAGCCAGUCGAAGAUACCAGCUGGCUGCAACUGUUUAUUAAAAACACAGCACUGUGCAAACACGAAAGUGGACGUAUACGGUGUGACGCCUGCCCGGUGCUGGAAGGUUAAUUGAUGGGGUUAGCGCAAGCGAAGCUCCUGAUCGAAGCCCCAGUAAACGGCGGCCGUAACUAUAACGGUCCUAAGGUAGCGAAAUUCCUUGUCGGGUAAGUUCCGACCUGCACGAAUGGCGUAAUGAUGGCCAGGCUGUCUCCACCCGAGACUCAGUGAAAUUGAACUCGCUGUGAAGAUGCAGUGUACCCGCGGCAAGACGGAAAGACCCCGUGAACCUUUACUAUAGCUUGACACUGAACAUUGAGCCUUGAUGUGUAGGAUAGGUGGGAGGCUUUGAAGUGUGGACGCCAGUCUGCAUGGAGCCAACCUUGAAAUACCACCCUUUAACGUUUGAUGUUCUAACCUAGGCCCAUAAACUGGGUCGGGGACCGUGUCUGGUGGGUAGUUUGACUGGGGCGGUCUCCUCCUAAAGAGUAACGGAGGAGCACGAAGGUUGGCUAAGCAUGGUCGGACAUCAUGCGGUUAGUGCAAAGGCAUAAGCCAGCUUGACUGCGAGAGUGACGGCUCGAGCAGGUACGAAAGUAGGUCUUAGUGAUCCGGUGGUUCUGAAUGGAAGGGCCAUCGCUCAACGGAUAAAAGGUACUCCGGGGAUAACAGGCUGAUACCGCCCAAGAGUUCAUAUCGACGGCGGUGUUUGGCACCUCGAUGUCGGCUCAUCACAUCCUGGGGCUGAAGUAGGUCCCAAGGGUAUGGCUGUUCGCCAUUUAAAGUGGUACGCGAGCUGGGUUUAGAACGUCGUGAGACAGUUCGGUCCCUAUCUGCCGUGGGCGUUGGAAGAUUGAGAGGGGUUGCUCCUAGUACGAGAGGACCGGAGUGAACGCACCACUGGUGUUCGGGUUGUCAUGCCAAUGGCAUUGCCCGGUAGCUAAGUGCGGAAGAGAUAACCGCUGAAAGCAUCUAAGCGGGAAACUUGCCUCGAGAUGAGUCUUCCCUGUCGCUUUAAGCGACCUAAAGGAACGUUUAAGACUAAGACGUUGAUAGGCUGGGUGUGUAAGCGUAGCGAUACGUUGAGCUAACCAGUACUAAUGAACCGUGAGGCUUAACCUGACAACACCGAAAGUGUUUUG
rnacentral:rRNA from 1 species